GUGGGGAAUUUUGGACAAUGGGCGCAAGCCUGAUCCAGCAAUGCCGCGUGCAGGAAGAAGGCCUUCGGGUUGUAAACUGCUUUUGUACGGAACGAAACGGUCCGGGUUAAUACCCUGGGCUAAUGACGGUACCGUAAGAAUAAGCACCGGCUAACUACGUGCCAGCAGCCGCGGUAAUACGUAGGGUGCAAGCGUUAAUCGGAAUUACUGGGCGUAAAGCGUGCGCAGGCGGUUUUGUAAGACAGGCGUGAAAUCCCCGGACUCAACCUGGGAAUUGCGCUUGUGACUGCAAGGCUGGAGUGCGGCAGAGGGGGAUGGAAUUCCGCGUGUAGCAGUGAAAUGCGUAGAUAUGCGGAGGAACACCGAUGGCGAAGGCAGUCCCCUGGGCCUGUACUGACGCUCAUGCACGAAAGCGUGGGGAGCAAACAGGAUUAGAUACCCUAGUAGUCC
rnacentral:rRNA from 1 species